rnacentral:lncRNA from 1 species
AGCAACUUGAUUGAAAUAAAGGAAGAUGUCUUUAAUAUACUGUUUAAAAAUGUAUUUCUAAAAACAAACAAAAAAACCAUAAUUUAUAACACUUAUGUUCACACAGAUGAUGUAACAGUGUUUUGUUUUUUUUUUCUUUCUUUUUUUUUUUUUUUCCUCCUGAAGUCCAGAACAAAUAUAGUGGGAUGUUCUUUUUCUCUUCCUUAUUACAGAAAAAUAGAUGUCUGGAGGUCCAGACACUCUCUUUCCCUCCCUCUCUCCUUUUCUCUCUCAUUAUCAUUAUUGAAAUUAAGUCAAAUAAUAGAUUUUAGUGAAUAAUAGUGUCUGUGGAGCAAAACAUGCCAGUGCAGAUUCCCAAGAUAUUUGACAAACAUUUUCAGUUUUAGUUUGUAUCACUUCAUAAAGCUAAAACUGGUUCAAAUCUUUUAUCCUAUCUCAGGGCAACGGUUACUUGACUGAAUAAUAAGGGUUUUUCAAAAAGCAUGCAUUAAUUCCAUCUGUUGAUACCUCCUCUACUGUAAGCAAACAGCUGGUAUCAGAAAUCAGACUUCAUGAAAUAUUCUGGAAAGAAAUGCAUAAUAAAUUAUAUUCGUUAUAAUUCCACAGCUUCGGGUUGAUACCAGAAUAUGAAACCAUCACAUACUGCAAGUUCAUAAAACAGACAUCCAUAUCAGGUUAUCUCUUAUGCAUGCUUGUGAGAGCCAGUGUCAAAAUCUGCAGUGACUGUAAUGCUGUAGGACUUUGCUUAUUACAACCUACUAGAGAACUUUGGAACUCCUCAGAAACAGUUCCUACUGAGAAGACAUCUGCAACGAUAUGCCAAGCCCAAAGGAACCAUGCACCAGGAAAAAUAAGACAAUUAUCUGCUCAUGAAAGAUUUUAUCACAGAAGUCCAGCCUGUAUCCAACCCCCAAACGGAUUUCUCUCUCCCUAUAGGAGUAUAUAUAUAUAUAUAUAUAUAUAUAUAUUUACAUAUACACAAAUCUUCAGGAUAUAUGGAUUUCAGAAGGAAAAUAGCUUUUCCAAUGGAACUGUGAAUAAAAACAACAACAAAAAAGAAAUGUGAGAUUUUAUUUAAUAAAUGUAUUUUGAAGAAAUCCUAACA